rnacentral:RNase_P_RNA from 2 species
UGAGACCUCUUGAUGAUCGCGGCUGGACCACCAUAGGGAAAAGCUGAGGAACUUCCGGGCUCCAAAGGGCAACGAUGGCGGAUAACGUCCGCCCAGGGUGACCUGAGAGACAGCGCCACAGAGAACAGACCGCCCGACUUCAGCCGGGUAAGGGUGAAACGGCGGUGCAAGAGACCACCGGGCCGCUGGUAACAGCGACCGCACGGCAAGCCUCAUCGGGAGCAAGGCCAAGUAGAAGGAAUGCAGAAUUUGCGCUGGGCUGCCCGCCCAGUCCUUCGGGUAGGCUGCUAGAGCCCUGCGGUAACGCAGGGUCGAGAUGGAUGAUCAUCCGUGCGGAGACGCACGACAAAACCCGGGGUAUAAGAGGUCUCAUUCC